rnacentral:rRNA from 1 species
UACGUAGGGGGCAAGCGUUGUCCGGAAUCAUUGGGCGUAAAGCGCGUGUAGGCGGCCCGGUCAGUCCGCUGUGAAAGUCCAGGGCUCAACCCUGGGAUGCCGGUGGAUACUGUCGGGCUCGAGUCCGGAAGAGGAGUGUGGAAUUCCUGGUGUAGCGGUGAAAUGCGCAGAUAUCAGGAGGAACACCAAUGGCGAAGGCAGCACUCUGGGACGUGACUGACGCUGAGGGGCGAAAGCGUGGGGAGCAAACCGG